rnacentral:rRNA from 1 species
AAACCAACAGGGAUUGCCCUAGUAACGGCGAGUGAAGCGGCAACAGCUCAAAUUUGAAAUCUGGCGUCUUUGGCGUCCGAGUUGUAAUUUGCAGAGGGCGCUUUGGCAUUGGCAGCGGUCCAAGUUCCUUGGAACAGGACGUCACAGAGGGUGAGAAUCCCGUACGUGGUCGCUAGCCUUUACCGUGUAAAGCCCCUUCGACGAGUCGAGUUGUUUGGGAAUGCAGCUCUAAAUGGGAGGUAAAUUUCUUCUAAAGCUAAAUACUGGCCAGAGACCGAUAGCGCACAAGUAGAGUGAUCGAAAGAUGAAAAGCACUUUGGAAAGAGAGUUAAAAAGCACGUGAAAUUGUUGAAAGGGAAGCGCUUGCAGCCAGACUUGCCUGUAGUUGCUCAUCCGGGUUUUUACCCGGUGCACUCUUCUACGGGCAGGCCAGCAUCAGUUUGGGCGGUUGGAUAAAGGUCUCUGUCACGUACCUCCUCUCGGGGAGAUCUUAUAGGGGAGACGACAUGCAACCAGCCUGGACUGAGGUCCGCGCAUCUGCUAGGAUGCUGGCGUAAUGGCUGUAAGCGGC